UUGAACGCUGGCGGUAGGCUUAACACAUGCAAGUCGAGCGAGAAAGUAUCUUCGGAUAUGAGUAGAGCGGCGGACGGGUGAGUAACGCGUAGGAAUCUACCUAGUAGAAGGGGAUAGCCCGGGGAAACUCGGAUUAAUACCGUAUACCUCCUAAGGGAGAAAGAGGGCCUCUCUUGAUGCUCUCGCUAUUAGAUGAGCCUGCGUAAGAUUAGCUUGUUGGUAAGGUAAUGGCUUACCAAGGCUACGAUCUUUAGCUGGUCUGAGAGGACGAUCAGCCACAUUGGGACUGAGACACGGCCCAGACUCCUACGGGAGGCAGCAGUGGGGAAUAUUGGACAAUGGGCGCAAGCCUGAUCCAGCCAUACCGCGUGUGUGAAGAAGGCCUUCGGGUUGUAAAGCACUUUAAGCAGGGAGAAAAAGCAAUAAGUUAAUACCUUAUUGCCGUGAUGUUACCUGCAGAAUAAGCACCGG
rnacentral:rRNA from 1 species